UACGUAGGGGGCUAGCGUUGUCCGGAAUCAUUGGGCGUAAAGAGCGCGUAGGCGCCCGGUAAGUCUGCUGUAAAAGUCAAAGGCUUAACCUUUGAAAGUCAGCGGAUACUGCCGGGCUAGAGUCCGGAAGAGGCGAGUGGAAUUCCUGGUGUAGCGGUGGAAUGCGCAGAUAUCAGGAGGAACACCAACGGCGAAGGCAGCUCGCUGGGACGGUACUGACGCUGAGGCGCGAAAGCGUUGGGGAGCGAACAGG
rnacentral:rRNA from 1 species